AUUGAACGCUGGCGGCAGGCCUAACACAUGCAAGUCGAGCGAGCGGCGGACGGGUGAGGAAUGUAUGGGGACUGCCCGAUAGAGGGGGAUAACUGCUGGAGACGGUAGCUAAGACUGCAUACUAUCGGAUAACCCAUAUGGGAUUAGCUAGUUGGUGAGGUAAUGGCUCACCUAGGCGACGAUCCCUAGCUGGUCUGAGAGGAUGAUCAGCCACACUGGGACUGAGACACGGCCCAGACUCCUACGGAGGCAGCAGUGGGGAAUAUGGCACAAUGGGCGAAAGCCUGAUGCAGCCAUGCCGCGUGUAUGAAGAAGGCCCUAGGGUUGUAAAGUACUUUUAGUCGGGAGGCGUUACCGACAGAAGAAGCACCGGCUAACUCCGUGCCAGCAGCCGCGGUAAUUC
rnacentral:rRNA from 1 species